CCCUUCCUUCUACAAAGUGUAGCUGUUGUCUUCUUUCCCGCUCUCGAUAUGGGGUGAAGUGUUGAGCAACAUAAGAAGCUGGAGUCUCUUUCAAAGACAUCUGUACUCUAAAGGUAGCAGGUUUAUCAAAUGGCCACAAUUUGAGCAGCAACAGCGAAAUGGAGUGAGAUACUGUUAGAUUCUCAGCAAGCCAAAAGGACAGUGGAAGAGCUGGUAAAGAAAACAAGGUUAAGGCCUCGUUGCCCCCAUCAGAGCUAAAGCCA
rnacentral:lncRNA from 1 species